rnacentral:rRNA from 1 species
AACGAACGCUGGCGGCAUGCCUAACACAUGCAAGUCGAACGGGAGCACCGGGUCUACUUGCGCACGGGGGCGUAACGCGGGGGAACCUGGCCGAAGAUUCCGAAAAACACCUCGACGGGGGUGCUAAUAAAGGAUAAUGUACUCGGACCAAAGAUUUAUCGGCCUGGGGUGUGCCGGCGGUGGUUUAGCGUGUUGGUAGGGUAAAAGCCUACCAGGGCGCGGCUCCCUAGCUGGUUUGAGGGGAUGAUCAGCCACGCUGGGACUGAGACGCGGCCCAGACUCCUACGGGAGGCAGCAGUGGGGAAUCCUGCACAAUGGGCGAAAGGCUGAUGCAGCCAUGCUUCGUGAGUGAUGAAGUUCUUAGGGUUGUAAAGCUCUUUUACCCGGGAUGGUAAUGACGGUACCGGGAGAAUAAGCACCGGCUAACUCCGUG